rnacentral:rRNA from 1 species
AGUGAACGCUGGCGGUAGGCCUAACACAUGCAAGUCGAACGGCAGCACAGUAAGAGCUUGCUCUUACGGGUGGCGAGUGGCGGACGGGUGAGGAAUACAUCGGAAUCUACUUUUUCGUGGGGGAUAACGUAGGGAAACUUACGCUAAUACCGCAUACGACCUACGGGUGAAAGCAGGGGAUCUUCGGACCUUGCGCGAUUGAAUGAGCCGAUGUCGGAUUAGCUAGUUGGCGGGGUAAAGGCCCACCAAGGCGACGAUCCGUAGCUGGUCUGAGAGGAUGAUCAGCCACACUGGAACUGAGACACGGUCCAGACUCCUACGGGAGGCACCAGUGGGGAAUAUUGGACAAUGGGCGCAAGCCUGAUCCAGCCAUACCGCGUGGGUGAAGAAGGCCUUCGGGUUGUAAAGCCCUUUUGUUGGGAAAGAAAAGCAGCAGGUUAAUACCCCGCUGUUCUGACGGUACCCAAAGAAUAAGUACCGGCUAACUUCGUG